GACGAGGUGGCAGAGUAGUGCGUUAGAUUUAAGCUCUAAAUAUAGGAGUGAGAGGCUUCUUCUCGUUA
rnacentral:tRNA from 1 species